GUACUAAGGUAGCGCGAUAAUUUGUCUCUUAAUUAGAGAAUGGUAUGAAGGGUUAGACGUGGGAUUAUUGUCUCUAAAAAAUACAGUUAAGUUUCCUUUUAAAUGAAAAGGUUUAAAUUUAUUAAAAGACGAGAAGACCCUGUCGAGCUUAAUUAAAUAAAAAACUAGAUAUGGUUAAAUGAAAAGUGUUAAUAGUUUAAUUGUUGGCUGAGUUUUUAAUUGAAGUUUAGUUGGGGAGAGCUGAGUUUAAGGUAAUAAACUUAAGAAAUACUAAAGAUCCUCUUUGAGAGAAGUAAGCAAAAGCUACCGCAGGGAUAACAGCGUAAUUCUUUUUAAGAGAUCUUAUUGAGGGAAGAGUUUGCGACCUCGAUGUUGGAUUAGAAAAACUUUUUGGUGUAGCAGCUAGACGUUGUAAGACUGUUCGUCUUUUAAUUUUCU
rnacentral:rRNA from 1 species